rnacentral:rRNA from 1 species
UACGUAGGGUGCAAGCGUUAUCCGGAAUUAUUGGGCGUAAAGAGCUCGUAGGCGGUUUGUCGCGUCUGCUGUGAAAACUGGAGGCUCAACCUCCAGCCUGCAGUGGGUACGGGCAGACUAGAGUGCGGUAGGGGAGAUUGGAAUUCCUGAUGUAGCGGUGAAAUGCGCAGAUAUCAAAAGGAACACCAAUGGCGAAGGCGGGUCUCUAGGCCGUAACUGACGCUGAGGAGCGAAAGCAUGGGGAGCGAACAGG